UAGCCUAGUGGUUAGAGUGUAGAGGAGGCAGGUAGCCUAGUGGUUAGAGUGUAGAGGAGGCAGGUAGCCUAGUGGUUAGAGUGUAGAGGGGGCAGGUAGCCUAGUGGUUAGAGUGUAGAGGCAGGCAGCCUAGUGGUUAGAGUGUAGAGGCAGGCAGCCUAGUGGUUAGAGUGUAGAGGGGGCAGGGUAGCCUAGUGGUUAGAGGGUAGAGGCAGGUAGCCUAGUGGUUAGAGUGUAGAGGCAGCAGGUAGCCUAGUGGUUAGAGUGUAGAGGCGGCAGGGUAGCCUAGUGGUUAGAGUGUAGAGGUGGCAGGCAGCCUAGUGGUUAGAGUGUAGAGGCGGCAGGGUAGCAUAGUGGUUAGAGUAUAGAGGGGGCAGGUAGCCUAGUGGUUAGAGUGUAGAGGGGGCAGGUAGCCUAGUGGUUAGAGUGUAGAGGCGGCAGGGUAGCCUAGUGGUUAGAGUGUAGAGGUGGCAGGCAGCCUAGUGGUUAGAGGGGAGAGGCAGGCAGUCUAGUGGUUAGAGUGUAGAGGUGGCAGGUAGCCUAGUGGUUAGAGGGGAGAGGCGGCAGGUAGCCUAGUGGUUAGAGUGUAGAGGUGGCAGGCAGCCUAGUGGUAGAGUGCAGAGGUGGCAGGUAGCCUAGUGGUUAGAGGGGAGAGGCGGCAGGUAGCCUAGUGGUUAGAGUGUAGGGGCGGCAGGUAGCCUAGUGGAUAGAGUGCAGAGGUGGCAGGCAGCCUAGUGGUUAGAGCGUUGGGUCCACUAACCGAAAGGUUGCUAGAUCGAAUCCCCCGA
ensembl:lncRNA